UAUAGAAUAUGAAAUGGCAAUUCUCGUUUGCAUUUGUUCAUAUUGUUACCGGUAGAAGUGGCAAUCUUCUGAUACGGGUUACAUCGCACGCUC